rnacentral:lncRNA from 1 species
CACCUGCAGCAUAUGGAAGUUCCCAGUCCAGGGGUCGAAUUGGAGCUGCAGCUGAGGCCUAUGCUGAAGCUUGUGGCAACACCAGAUCCUUAACCCACGGAGCGAGGCCAGGGAUCAACCCUCCAUCCUCACGGAAACAAUGUCGGGGUCUUAGCCCAAGGAGCCGCAACGGGAACUCCUCGAGUAAGCUUUAAUUACAUACAAGAGCUAGACUCUGAAUGAACUCCAUGUUACAGUUCAUUAGAACAGGGUGGAGGCUGCUUUGUCAGAUACGAGGAGGCUUUCCUUCAUCUGUGGCUUGACGCUACCUAAGCAACCAUCGCCAGUGUCGGGGUUUAGCACACCACACGCACUGAAGGCAAAGGGUACGGGGAUGUUCUCAGGUCGUCAGCAUUAAUGUCUCAACAGGACUUACUUAAGAAACUAGUCCUCAAAGUCAGAACUUCUAAAUUUUGUCGUCAGUGCUUCUCAAGCUUUGGCAGGCCUGAGAAUCACCAGGGGAAUUUGUUUUAAAAGGAAGAUAGUAAGGUCUCACCACCCAGGAGUCCUAUUAGGUUCAUCAGGAGUGAUUCUAGCAAUUCUAAGAAACGUGACAUCGGGGCUGGGAUUAGAAGGCACCCAGGGCACAUUUAGGGAAGUACUUACCCUCAGGUGCAAGCAAAUGCAAGACUGCCACCUGAGCAAACCUGACUGUAUGUGCCUCCUUAAAUGUCACAUUCAGGGCAUCUCGCUGGACUCAUCCUGGUCUUGGGCUUGUAUUGGGUGAGUCCAUGGACCAGCAGCACCAGCACAGUCUGGAGCCUUUUUAGAAAUACAGAAUCGUGGCCUAACUCCAGGACCACUGAAUCAGAAUCUGCAGGUUAACAAGAUUCUCAAGUUACUCUUUCAUUAAUUUUUUUUAGGGCCGCACCCGUGGCACAUGGAGGUUCCCAGGCUAGGGUCCAAUCGGAGCUACAGCUGCUGGCCUACGCCACAGCCACAGCAACGCGGGAUCCUCAACCCACUGAGUGAGGCCAGGGAUCAAACCCACGUCCUCAUGGAUGCUAGUCAGCUUCAUUACCGCUAAGCCAUGACGGGAAAUCCUCUCAGGUUAUUUCUUGAACGUGAGCAGCGGCUGCCCACUGAGCUCAAAGGACAGCCCUACACUGACCAGCAGUUUUGUCGCUCUCUCUUAACCCCUGGCCUGAAUAACGACAUGAAAGAGAUGCUUGUUAAUCUGCAGGUGGAAUAAAACAAGAGGCUGCUGGUGCAAAAAGAAAGAACCAGGCCAUCUUGACAGGCCGGAGGACAGGUCGCACGCUGAACUAUAAUAAGUGUAGGAAAAAUUUUACACUUAAGCUAAAAAUUUCAAUAAUGAAUGUAUAUAAGAUGUGUGACAGUUUGCCUGGCAGCAAAACCUAUGAAAGAUCCUGGGAAUAAGUCCGGAAGUAAAUCAUGCAUUUAAUAUAAUGGCAUUUCACAUCAGUGGGAGAAAAUGAAUAAUUUAAUAAAUGGUGUUGGAAUAAUCGGGUAGCUAACCGGGAAAAAAAAUGAAAGUGUACCUCCACCCGCACGUCUUACAGCAAAAUGAAUUCCCGAAGGAUCGAAGAGUUAAACAUAAAAGCAAAUCUAUUACAGUAUGAGAAGAAAAUAUGAGGAAAACUUUCAAAAAAUAACCUCAGAGUGGGUGAGGCCUCUCUAAGCAAGAACAACAUCCGAAUGAUAUAAACAAAACCCAGAGGCUCUUUUUUAAAAGUGGAGACCUUUGACUGUAUCAAGAAAAGCACCUGCUGAGAACUAUGUCUAGAUACUCAUGCUGCAACAGAACGAAGGGUGGGGAAAAAAAAAUGUAAUGUAUACAUGUAAGGAUAACUUGAUCCCCUUGCUGUACAGUGGGAAAAUAAAAUUGAAAAAAAGAAAAAAAGAAAAAAAGAAAAGCACCUGCAUGGUAAAUCCCACUGUGAGCAAAACCCGGAGAAAGAUGACAAAGGGGGGUUACAACUGGCAUCAAAAACACAGUUGCCCUCCUGGGGAAGAGGGAGAAGACGAGUCUCGCGCUGCUGUAAAUGGCUGAGUCGGGGUUAAUGGAAGACAUUUCUGUGAGUUCAAUGUCAGCUGAACGUAUGGAAGACCUUUCUAAGAAUCAGGCCAAGGCGAACCAGCCAACUUCUAGGAAUUUCUGGAAGGGAGGACCACGCAAGACGGGAACUCAGCAACAUGAUCUUUGAGGUUCCGUCAGACUCUAAAAUGAUGCCGUUCCAACCCAAGGAUGACAUCACCUCCGGAAGAGUUCAGAGCACACAAGCAAAGCCGCGAGGCCCUCUCACCUCCCAAAGGACCGGAGACCACUGUGCUCGGGGCUCUAACUUUUCACUCAAAGCACAAUGUCCUGGGGCCGGGGGCAGGGGGUGGGGGAGGAGGAAUGGCGGGUGUACACGACUUACCCACUCAUGACUCCAGCACUUGGGAGUAUUUUGAGUUUUUGGUGGUUCGGGCUGGGCAAUCCUAUUUCAUUCCCAUUCCUUCCCUUGGCUCUCCCCUUACGCAAAGCACAAGAAGGACUGGGCAAGAGAGUGGGUUAGGGUUGGAGAAUUAAGCACGAGGUCCCAGCAGUGCGGUUCUCAGUUGUAUAAAACCCCUAACCCUUGAGCGAUACCUAGAUGUCAGUGUCACUUUCACUGCCGUCUGACUGUGAGCUAAUGAGCACGAACGAACAAACCAAUAGGACCAAAAAUUCAGCGCACAAAUGGGCGAUAGUUGUGCAAGGCCGGGGGUCCCUGGCCAGCCUGUCAGUGCAAACCUGGCGAACCCAGGCAUCUUGAGACACGGAGCAGCCGCGCUUUUUCCAAGGAGAAAACGCCCCCGGAAUCCCAGCAACUGAGGAGGUAAAGCAAAAGGGAAGAAAAGUCUUUGUCACUGUGAAUGACGGUGCUUACGACAAAGCAAAGGUCAGCUGGACAAGACGGAGAAGGCUGACCACAAUCUGUCAAGGCUCUGAAGGCAACCUCCUAACUCCUCUCUCCAAAGCUCUAAACGUCAGCAACACCAACUUUACUGUGACACCGAAUCUCACUUCGAAAUCUAGUGCUUCCUUUUGUCUUACACGCCACUAAAUACCUUUUGGCUGUGAUGGGGAGAGUUUUUGGUUCAAAACCAUAACGAAAAGAAUGAAUGGGGACAAGAAAGAAGAUGCUCUGAGGAUGAGAGAGCAAUAAAUAACCAGCUCCAAGAGGAGAUGAGAAGAAUCACCCGAAGCAUCAUGACCUAAAACGCAGGUAAAACGGAAUAAAAGCGCGUGAAGGCCGGGUAGGGAGGGAAUCCCCAGGGAGGGUGGGAGAGGAGGACGGUGACGACGCUGUGACCGAGUUUCUCUCCAGGCCAUCGGGGGGCACCAGUGGUCCAGGACACGGUGGCGGCUCCAGGUAGAGGCUCCCUGAGCCGGCUUCCCCAGUCAUGGGGUGGUCCCAAGUGGGGGAUACUCAUCUAUCAAUCAUUAGAAAUGCUUUCAUAGCCCGGUGAUUACAGAAAAAGAAAAUCAAAUAAAACGGACUUCUGUAUUUGCUUAUCCAAAUCCAAAAGGGUGACGACAAACAGUGUCAUGUGGUCCCCAGAAGCAGGAGCACCAGGGAGAGCUCAGACAGUCUCCAGGGAGCUCCUGCUGCUCCGAGCUCCCACCAUCCCCAGGCAGCAGGCCCGGAGUGCCAGCCCCUGAGGCCCGGGCUGCAGGGCAGGGGGACGGAGCUCACAGGGCGAGGGCGAGGGGAAGGGGCCUGGAGCAGCGACCUCAAAGACAGACGGGUCUCAGGGACACGGUUGGCUCCGAGAAAGCAGAAUGAACGUGGGGUGCAUAGCGCGGGCAUCUGGAAAGGCAGGAGGUUAAGUGCCUUGCUCGAUAUCACACGCGAAGAGCACGAAUGUUACCCGUGUAACUGUUUUGCUGCUCCAGCCUUUUCCACCAGACGCCACAGAGUCACAAUUCCUUUUUUUUUUUAAGGUGGAAUGUAUUGCUUCAAGGUACAUAUAACAAACAGGUCUGCCAGACAGGCGAGCCCGGACAACACAUACCAACAAAUCUAUUCCUUCAGAAUGUGCGGCCCUCCUUCCUCAAGACUGCUGGCCGGCAAAACCCUUCCAAGACCUGCACGACACUGGAUCACAAACCAUGAGCCUUACCGGCAGCUCCAUGACCUGUCCUGGGGUCGGCAACAUCCUUGGCCCUGAGCGUCAGUCAAGUGUGAGGCCUCUGGCAGCUACCCGCUACCGGGGGAGCCGAAGAGGCGGCGGAGGGGAGAGAGGUGGAGAAGGGCAGGGCGGAGGGGAGCAGGCGUAUAGAAACGGAGCACCCCCAAAGCAAGCCCAAAGCUGCUUUUGCAGCUUAGACCACCCGGAGUGCCCCUGAACUGUGCCGU